GACGAACGCUGGCGGCGUGCUUAACACAUGCAAGUCGAACGAUGAAGCCCUUUCGGGGGUGGAUUAGUGGCGAACGGGUGAGUAACACGUGGGUAACCUGCCCUGUACCCUGGGAUAAGCCUUGGAAACGAGGUCUAAUACCGGAUAUGACCUGCUCUCGCAUGGGGGUGGGUGGAAAGUUUUGGCGGUGCAGGAUGGACCCGCGGCCUAUCAGCUUGUUGGUGGGGUGAUGGCCUACCAAGGCGACGACGGGUAGCCGGCCUGAGAGGGCGACCGGCCACACUGGGACUGAGACACGGCCCAGACUCCUACGGGAGGCAGCAGUGGGGAAUAUUGCACAAUGGGGCGAAAGCCUGAUGCAGCGACGCCGCGUGAGGGAUGACGGCC
rnacentral:rRNA from 1 species